rnacentral:lncRNA from 1 species
GUUAAUAUUGGGGCGGUCUCCAAUACUGGGAGUAGAGAGAACACAGUUGAGUUGAAGGUAGAAGAAAUAUUUAGAGAGAGAGAGAGAGUGCCGACUGGGUUAGAAACCAGAAUCGAUCACUGAAUUACAGUAUUCGAGAUGUUUUUGGCCAUAAUUAAUCACGAAGAAGAAGAGGAAAAAGAAGGAAUCGGCACUAAAUUACUGUAUUAGAGGUGUUGUUUAAUUGGGUUUCUUCCAGAAUGAAUUACCCAAAGGAAGAAGAGGUAUUGUCUUUUUUUUCCCGAGUAAUUUCUACUUUCAGUUGAUGGUACUGUUUAAUUUGGGUUUAAUUGGGUUUCUUCCACGAUUUCUUGUCAAUUUGAGUUUCUUCUUUGUGUUUCUUGUCUAAUUUGGGUUUAAUUUGGUUCUUCAGAAUCUUCACUGAAUUACCCAAAGAAAUAAAAAGGUUUUUCGAUUGUUUGAGUAAUUUCUACUUUAUUCGUACUGUAUAAUUUGGGUUCGAUUGUGUUUCUUCCACGAUUUCUUGUCAAUUUGGAUUUCUUCUAUGUGUUUCUUGUCUAAUUUAGGUUUAAUUGUUUUUCUUCAGAAUGGUCACUUUAUUACCCAAAAGAAGAAAGGGUUUUUCGAUUAUCUUAGUAAUUUUUACUCUGUGUAUCCUUACAGUUUAAUUUGGGUUUCUUCUAUGAUUUCUUGUCUAAUUUUUGAUGGUACUGUUUAAUUCUUGAUUUUCUCUGUGUGUUUUGUGGAUUUUUUUAUGAUUGCUAUUAAUAAUUUGUAUUGUUUGUGGCUUACAUUGAAUAGAUAUUUUCUUUACAUAUGAUUUCUGUCUAAUUGGGGUUUUCCCUUGAUUUCUUGUCUAAUUGGGUUUUUGUUAGUUUUGUCUGUCACUUUGAGUAUGAGUUUCACUCUCUUUUCUUUCCGAGUCUACUUGACUUUUUUAUUUAUUAAUGUUGUUCUGUUUGGAAACACCAUUAUCAGAAUCUCUCUCUAAAAAGGAAAAAAAUGAUGUUGUACUAAUCCUAUAUAUACAUACAUGUAAUGUUUAUAUAUCAGGGUUUGGUGUCUACAGAUCUUGAUUUGCAGUGCAGAUCUAGUGCUUUAGGGGUUCAACAUUUGCUCACGAAUGGCUACUCCCUUUUGCUUUCCUGUCACUGCUGUGCAUAUAUGUACCUCUCUAUCUCUCUUCUGAUAUAUAUAUAUAUAUAUAUGAAUGAUCCAAAGCAUCUAUUUGCUAUGGAUCAAAAAGUGGCAUAUAGCAUCUAUACCGUAGCUUUAACAAAUGAUGGAAAAAAUGACUAUAUAUGUUGUUCACUAGUUUGAAGAAUCAUUACUUGUAUCCUAAUUAAUGCAUGCUGAAUCUAUUCCAGUAAUGUUUCCUUCACAGGCUAAAGGGAAGAAGAGAGAUAUUGCAGUAAUGUUCACAGGCUAAAGGGAAGAAGAGAGAUAUUGCAGGUUAAAGGCUAAAGGGCUGAAUCUAUUCCAGUAAUGUUCUCAUUGCACGAUCAUAUUGCAUUUGAUGCCCGUAUAUGACAAGCACAUGGUAAUGAAUGAAUACACAAAUUCUUUGUAUAGAUCUUGUUCUUUGAAUUCAUAGCUAAAUUAUGUUAAUCAAUGUUUAUUUUAAAAAUGGAAACUUGAAAUUCCUUUCUGCUUGUUGAGCGGAUAGUUAAGAGUUUGUGGAUAUAAUAAUAAUGAAUGAUUUGUCUUCUGAAAUUAUAUAUUUUGAGAUUUCAUGCAAAACUAUUUUAGGAGGUGAAGUGUUUUGUGCUUGAUUUUCUGUCUUGUGUUUUAUUUACAAUUAAUCCCGGCCAUGCCUUAAAAAUAAAGAGAAUUCAUAUGAGAUACUAUUUCAUAGAACUAAAUGUGUACAAUUUGGGAUGUAGAAAUUGUAAUGUAGCUGUUUUGUGUUGGUCAGCACAGUAGCUUUUGACAGAUAGGUAAAUCAUCCUUGCUGUGUUGCUGAUGUCUGGUUUUGAGCAUACAGGAUUGAAUUUAUAGAAGAUGACAACUUAGAGGAUGCUUGGACAGUUUUCCUAAGGUAUCGCUACUGGGCCAGUUUGAUAUAAGAUUCUGCUGCCAUCUACUUUUUUGAUGCAGGGUGUUAUGCUCAUUGUGUUUCCUAACUUGCCUCAAAGUUAUGUUUUCAUGCUGAGUUUAACUUUUUUUUGAAGUUCCAUUUUUGAGCUUUUAACGGAAGAUCGCAGACUGAGUACCUGCUUUAAAUUGCCUCACUUUUUAACUUCAGCAGUUUUUAUUCAUGAUUCUUUGGAUCUUAGUUUGAUCAAUAUAUUACAUAUAGUUCUAAUUGUUUAAUCUAAGUUUUUAUAUCUAAUUUUCUUUAAAGGUAUCUUUAUCUUCCAUUUAGUUGAUUAUAUUAUAAUAAGAAUCUAUCUACAGUAACAAAGAAAUAACUAUAUAUCAAAUUAAAUACAUAAAGCAGUAAAAUUAGCACAAAGUUGUAUGGACUGGAAUGCUUAGGUGUCAUUUGUGCAAAAAAUUUAGCCCAAAUUCUGCAAUUUUAGAUAUGAAAUAACAAGUGACAACAGGAUGGGGCCUAUGGUAAGGCGUUCAGUAUUGUUGUGAAUCUUAAUUACCAUGACUGAUAUUCACUGGACUGACCACCAAUAAAGCUAACAAAUUUUCUGUGAAUUUAACAGGCAUGUGCCUUCAAGGACUCUUAUGAGAAAUUCAAGAAAGCAGGAGCUGAGGUUGUUGGUAUUAAGUUGUAUUUGAUUUGGAAUUAUGUUUAGGAUAUAUUUUUGUUGUUGAUUUGGAAUAGGAUUGGUAUAAUUUGUUUUGGAAUUGGAUUUAUUUGAUUUGGAAUAACUUGGUAUUUUAUGUAUUUGAUGUGGAAGAAUUUGGAAUUUGAUGUAUUUGAUUUGAUCUCCUUUGGAAUUUGAUAUUUCAAAUAUGA